rnacentral:rRNA from 1 species
CCUACGGGUGGCAGCAGUAGGGAAUCUUCCACAAUGGACGAAAGUCUGAUGGAGCAACGCCGCGUGAGUGAAGAAGGGUUUCGGCUCGUAAAGCCCUGUUGGCAGUGAAGAAAGAUAGCGGUAGUAACUGGUCUUUAUUUGACGGUAAUUAAUUAGAAAGUCACGGCUAACUACGUGCCAGCAGCCGCGGUAAUACGUAGGUGGCAAGCGUUGUCCGGAUUUAUUGGGCGUAAAGCGAGGGCAGGCGGGUCAUUAAGGCUGAUGUGAAAGCCUUCGGCUCAACCGGAGAAUUGCAUCAGAAACUGUGGAACUUGAGUGCAGGAGAGGAGAGUGGAACUCCAGGUGUAGCGGUGGAAUGUGUAGAUAUAUGGAAGAACACCAGUGGCGAAGGCGGCUCUCUGGUCUGCAACUGACGCUGAGGCUCGAAAGCGUGGGUAGCGAACAGGAUUAGAUACCCGAGUAGUC